ensembl:lncRNA
UAGGGUUUCAAUCAAUCUGUAAUAGUAAUAAUAAUUUUUUUUUUAAUUCCAAUAAAACAAGAUCCUGAGAUUAGUGUUUGUCUAUGUCUAUAAUAUACUAUAUAUCUAAUAUAAUAUUUAAAAAAAAUUAAAUGCAGAGAUUUGAAAUGAGGAGAUGUUUUGAAAUCAUAUUCCGCAAAAAUAAAGGUUCCUAAGCUAAUAGGGGACUAAAAACACAUUAAACCUGUCCUCAGACUAGUUGGGUUUUUUUUUUUUUUACGCAGUUCAGGUUCUGUACAGAUUUCCUGGAAUUGUUUUUUUACAUUGGAAAGAGUGUCAACACAGAUGUGUUGCCUCACUAGCACAAACAGACAGGACUAUAAAGGUCCUGCAAGAGUCCUGUUUGUCAUUCAGGACAAGGAACUGGCAUGGCUCCCCCGAUAAGCAGUUUCGCUCUGGCUCUUCUGAGUGUCCAGUCUUUUUUCAGCACUGAUAUACCCUGUGAGAAAAUCACAAAGCCUCUGGUACUCAGUGGCAACUACAGCUCAUAUAGGGAAAGAAUGUACGCUUAGAGAUCCUGUGGAAUUCCCUGUUCAAAAUAAUGCUGUGCAUGACACUGGCACUGAUGAAAUUUACCAGUACUACUUAUUACCAUCCUGUUCCAACUGUCUCACUGGAUACUACAGCCAGGAUAAUGGAGAGUACCCCACCAGAGUACUUAUGCUGUUCUCCAAGGAACGCACAGUUUCAAGAAGAGCAAGGAAACUGUACCGAAAGCAGGUCAAGUGUAUGGGAUUUCCUGAACAAACUUUUAAAGUCUACGAUAAACCAGAAUUGUGUCCGAUGGAAGAAUGAAAACACUUCUCAUCGCCACGUUACAGUGAUUCUUUCUAUCGAUAUCAAUUCCUGUCUGUUUUGACCUGUUCAACCUGAUUAAUGUGUGUUAGAAAUAAAGUGCUCAGAAAUCUGUACACCCGAACCCGAUUCAAAUAUAUUAUACUGUCAGAUUAACUUUCACAGAUUGGGAUUAGCACCUCUACUGUCUGAUUAACACGUAUUGUGUUGAAUUAUGUGUUCUUGUUGAAAUAAAGUGCAUUCACUCUGUCUUGGGGGGUUUUAGACUAGCUAGUUCUUCCUUUCGGACCCUGGGGUUGGCUAGUAAUUCUAAUUAAAUGCGUUUUUUUGCUAAUUCUAUGCUACAUUCUGUGUUAAUCGUAUGCUUAAAACAACAACAAACCAAAAAAUACCUUUUAAGUUCAACCCUAUUACUUAUUUUAACAGGGAAUUUCAGCCAGUGUUGACAAAGACACGUUGUUAAAACACCAGAGCUUAAUGACACCACAAGCAUGAAACCACACUUACAUUAAAUGUGUCUGUGUGUAUCUAUCUAUAUAUAUAUAUACACACA